UUUGUUUCGCUUUUCGUGCACACCUCAUCUCUGUUUCUAGUUCUAAUAUCAAGAAAAUGCUCCGGGGCCUCGACUCAUACCCAUAUGAAUGGGUCACCCACCGCACCUUUAUUUUCAUUAUACUACUAUGUAAGAUACUCGUAAUAACACUCUUCUCAUGUGAUGGACUUUAAUUGAAAGCACAAAAAAUAUUAAGCAAAAUGCCCCGGUGCCUUGCCUUACGUUUGCGAAUGAAACAGCAGACCAUUGCUGUGGUUCUGCGUAACGUUUAACGCCCUGUCUGCAAAAAUAAGGGUGCAACAACACUAGGAAUUU
rnacentral:lncRNA from 1 species